rnacentral:rRNA from 1 species
ACCACUUCGGUGGGGAUUAGUGGCGAACGGGUGAGUAACACGUGGGCAAUCUGCCCUUCACUCUGGGACAAGCCCUGGAAACGGGGUCUAAUACCGGAUAAUACUUCCACUCUCCUGAGUGGUGGUUGAAAGCUCCGGCGGUGAAGGAUGAGCCCGCGGCCUAUCAGCUUGUUGGUGAGGUAAUGGCUCACCAAGGCGACGACGGGUAGCCGGCCUGAGAGGGCGACCGGCCACACUGGGACUGAGACACGGCCCAGACUCCUACGGGAGGCAGCAGUGGGGAAUAUUGCACAAUGGGCGAAAGCCUGAUGCAGCGACGCCGCGUGAGGGAUGACGGCCUUCGGGUUGUAAACCUCUUUCAGCAGGGAAGAAGCGAAAGUGACGGUACCUGCAGAAGAAGCGCCGGCUAACUACGUGCCAGCAGCCGCGGUAAUACGUAGGGCGCAAGCGUUGUCCGGAAUUAUUGGGCGUAAAGAGCUCGUAGGCGGCUUGUCACGUCGGGUGUGAAAGCCCGGGGCUUAACCCCGGGUCUGCAUUCGAUACGGGCUAGCUAGAGUGUGGUAGGGGAGAUCGGAAUUCCUGGUGUAGCGGUGAAAUGCGCAGAUAUCAGGAGGAACACCGGUGGCGAAGGCGGAUCUCUGGGCCAUUACUGACGCUGAGGAGCGAAAGCGUGGGGAGCGAACAGGAUUAGAUACCCUGGUAGUCCACCGCCGUAAACGGUGGGAACUAGGUGUUGGCGACAUUCCACGU